rnacentral:rRNA from 1 species
CCUACGGGAGGCAGCAGUGGGGGAUAUUGCACAAUGGGGGAAACCCUGAUGCAGCGACGCCGCGUGUGUGAAGACGGUCCUCUGGAUUGUAAACCACUGUCCCCAGGGACGAAGCUGACGGUACCUGGGGAGGAAGCUCCGGCUAACUACGUGCCAGCAGCCGCGGCAAGCCGUAGGGAGCGAGCGUUGUCCGGAAUGACUGGGUGUAAGGGGAGCGUAGGCGGGGAUGCAAGUUGGUGGUAAAAACUACCGGCUCAACUGGUAGUCGCACUCAAAACUGCAGCUCUUGAGUGAAGUAGAGGCAGGCAGAAUUCCUAGUGUAGCGGUGAAAUGCGUAGAGAUUAGGAGGAACACCAGUGGCGAAGGCGGCCUGCUGGGCUUUUACUGACGCUGAGGCUCGAAAGUGUGGGGAGCAAACAGGAUUAGAUACCCGAGUAGUC